ensembl:lncRNA
GUCCAACCAAGCCACCAGCUAUUGCAUGAUAUGGGAAUAUCUAAAGUCGUGGAGCUGCUUUCCAAAGUGCUGGAAGAAAAUAAAUUGAUGAAAGCGGAAAUUACCAACCUGGGGAGUGAAGUGAGGGCGCUUAGGAGAGAGAUGGUGAGGCCGGUAGCACCAGAAGCUGCCGCUUCGUCCAUCAAGCUGCCUCUGAGGACAAUGGAGGAGUUUCAAUUAGCAGAGGCUGUUAUGAGAGAAACCCCCUGCGAAAAACAAAAGAUGAUCUUAACAUUCAGUCUAAUUGGAGGGCACACUGCAGAAGAGCCC